rnacentral:lncRNA from 1 species
CUGAAGUUGGAUGAGAUCCUGACAGAAUCCCCAGAAACUAAAGCACCUACUCAAAGGAGAUGUAGGAAGUUCACUUGCAUUCAACAGUUAUGUCAUAUAUUAAAACUGGUAUAUUCAUGUAGAUGAGAUGGUAAUAUCCUGUCUGAUCUCUCCAUGAAGGCAAGAUAAAGGUCAAGCCAAAACUAAAGCCAUGUGUGAAGGUUGGGCCUUCAAGAAAUGGCCAGUUUGACUGUGCACCCAGUCAGAAUAAACCAACAUCUCAAGCCACAGCACAAACUGAGAUUGAGUCCAACCAGAAACUAUCUGUGCAGGAAACAGUUGGUCCUGAAAGCCACUCAAGCCUUGAAGACAGUGAGAGGGAAGCCCAUCCUGGACCUGAUGACGUGAUAUCAACAGCCAUUGUGCCAGUGUCUGAAGAUAUGAGAGAUGAGAGUCACCCUGAAGUGGGAAUGUCCUCUCAGAACAGAACUCCAGAGGAAUGAGGACUCUGUUGUUGACCCUCCAGUGAGUCAGAGGCUGUUCUCUGUUGAAACAGACCAGUUUUUUUCUGUAUAAAUCAGUCAUUCACAUAAGUGUUUCUUCACAGGUGCACAGUACAUUCAUAAAGGAGUCUGAGGGGAACAACAAAGCUGCUUAUGAGGGUAUUUCACACAUAGUGUUGGGUGAUGCCUUUGUACACUCAUCAGAAGAAAUGAAGGAUGUUUUUAAUAAGGGAAAGGAAAGCCCUCAUGAUAGUGAGCUCCAAAUACCUGAGGGCUUAUCUGUAUGUCUUACAGAGAGUGCAAAAUCUCUUCCUUCAGUUAUUGACCAAGAGGAAACAAUGGCAGAUAUUUCUAAAAAGCCUGAUACUUGCAGAGAGGCAUCAUGUGUGUCAUCAUCUGCAUCUCAAGAGAAGACUAUACGCUUUAGGAGAGGCAAGUUGCAAGUGAAGCCAAAAAUCCCCAAAACGACAUCUACUGAAGACGAUUGUUCUAGACAGAAGCUAUCUGACUUUGGGUAUAAUGAUCCAGCCACAACUCAAAUAAUUUCACCAGAACCUCUGAUUAAAGAAGAAUCCAUUAAAGUGGAACAGAGAUCAGAGCAAGAAGAUUUCUCUGAUAUUCCAAAGGAGGAAUUAGACGGAGAGCCUGCUGGGAUUGCUUCAUCCUCACAACUUCAACCGCUUAUACCAUUCAGCACUGUAAAAUCAACAGCAUGAUAAGAAACAUCUAUUUUAAUAAAUAUCCUUCAAUCUGUGUACAAUUAUUAUAGGCAAUUUUUUUUUCAACUUACUGUCAUAACACUGAAUUGCAUCCGGUGGAACUGAAAAUAGAGGGUAGGCAUGAGGAUGCGUCACACGUGGUGUUGCCUGAUAUAUUGGUGCCGGUUUCCGCUGAAAUGGAAAACGGCGAUCAUGGAAGUUCUGUCCAAAGCAGUCUCCAAAUGGGUGAAGAGAGCCAGCAGAUUGUCUCUGCAGAAGCUGACCAGGAGAUGCAUUCGCAUGAGGGUGUUUCACACAUGCUGCUGACUGAUAUGUUGAUCCCCGUCUGUGAGAAAAUGGAAGAUGAUUUAAGCAAUGAAUGGACAAAAGCUGGAGAGAAAAGCCCUCAUGAGGAAGGAAGAUCUCAGUUUAGUUAGCUGAAUGGCAGAAUAAUGAGUAAGGAGUACUGGCAGAUAUAUAUAUAUAUUUUUGGUAUUGGUCAAUAUUGUAUAUUUAAAUGUAAAUUUUUAUUUCAAAUUGGCAAAACAUUUUAAUACCCAUAAUUAAUUAGAAUUUU